UGUCACAUUUUCUCUUUCUCUUCCGUCAUCAUCUUCUUGACUGUAAAUGUUGACAGGUAUCAGGGGUCUGGGAUUUUGCAACAGAGGACAACAACCCCCCAUCCUUUCCAUCACUGAAUGCUAACGUCUAAGAAUCCUGAAACCUUCCACCUGUGUUCCAAACGAGCCCCGCCGUCCGCCUUCAUACGUCUGGAGUACACUACAAUUUAAUGGUGGGAGUGUGAGGUGGACCAGCCCCAGGGCGACGGGGCCCCUCCUCGCAGCAGCUGUUGCCGCAGAUAGCCUCUCCUGGCCCGCUCGCCUCUGAGGGGGAGCUCUCCUCCAUUAUCUAUCCCCGGAGACGGGGAAAAACAAAACACUGUCACCAUUAAACAUAUUCCCUGUCACGGCCCGGAGAAAGCAGGUCCAGGUCGUCGUGAUGGACCCUGAAUGUGCUCCCGUAUCAAAACACCGGCUCUGGAGGACACAGUUCUAUGAAGACGUAUUGGUUUGUGAUGGCUUUGUGUUCAUUAAGUACAGCUGCAAUGACAGAGGCCAUUCAAUGCUGUUCAUAUUCAUUUAAAACUGCAGUAUGCAACGUAUAUUUUUAUACAUUUGUUGAGAUGUCAUUAUGACACUAUGGUAUGAGAUGGCGCUCAUCCUGCUCCACCUUUUACUUUCUGCGACGCUACCGUUAGCAUAGCAUGUUGUGAAUGCUAAGGCUAGUUAGCAUAGCCACCGAUGUUGCGGAAAAGCUGUUGUCCUGUAACAGUAUGUUGUCAGUAUGUUGUUUCUCCACUAUUAGCACAUUUAGUAACGAGUACAUAAAGUUUGAUUGGCAGCACUAAGCCCCGCCUCCCGGCUCUGAUUGGCUUUUUUUGGUCGGGCUCGGUGCCUUUCUUCAGAUGGCCUUAGUAGCUCAGGGAGGAGGUGGACGAGAUCGAUAUCAUGAUGUACUGUCACAACAUGGUGACAGUUUCAAUAUAACUGAAACAUGUAAAGAACAAAUUCUUUCUAUAAAUUACAUACUUCAGAUUUAAUCCACCAAACUGUCAAUUUCUUAUAAACUACAGAAUAUGAAUUAAAACACAAACACAUGCAGUUAAUGUAUACAUCAA